rnacentral:rRNA from 1 species
GACGAACGCUGGCGGCGUGCUUAACACAUGCAAGUCGAACGGUGAAGCGCCUUCCUUUUUGGUGGGUGUGGAUGAGUGGCGAACGGGUGAGUAACACGUGAGUAACCUGCCCCCUUCUUCUGGAUAACCGCAUGAAAGUGUGGCUAAUACGGGAUAUUCUGGGUCUGUCGCAUGAUGGGUUUGUGAAAGAUAUUGUUUCGGAGGGGGAUGGGCUCGCGGCCUAUCAGCUUGUUGGUGGGGUGAUGGCCUACCAAGGCGGUGACGGGUAGCCGGCCUGAGAGGGUGGACGGUCACACUGGGACUGCGACACGGACCAGACUCCUACGGGAGGCAGCAGUGGGGAAUAUUGCACAAUGGGCGCAAGGCUGAUGCAGCGACGCCGCGUGAGGGAUGGAGGCCUUCGGGUUGUGAACCUCUUUCGCCAGUGAAGCAGGCCUGCCUAGUUUGUGGGUGGGUUGACGGUAGCUGGAUAAGAAGCGCCGGCUAACUACGUG